GAUUGACUCGGAUCAGGUUGGGAUACCGCUGAACUUUAACCUUUCAUA
rnacentral:rRNA from 1 species